GAUGAACGCUCGCUGUGUGCCUAAUACAUGCAUGUUGAACGGGAUGUAGCAAUACAUUCAGUAGCGAAUGGGUGAGUAACACGUACCUAACCUACCUUUAAGACUGGGAUAACUAUUGGAAACAAUAGCUAAUACCGGAUAUAGUUAUUUAUCGCAUGAUGAGUAAUAGAAAGGAGCUUCACAGCUUCACUUAAAAAUGGGGGUGCGGAACAUUAGUUAGUUGGUAGGGUAAUGGCCUACCAAGACGAUGAUGUUUAGCCGGGCCGAGAGGCUGUACGGCCACACUGGGACUGAGAUACGGCCCAGACUCCUACGGGAGGCAGCAGUAAAGAAUUUUCCACAAUGAGCGAAAGCUUGAUGGAGCGACACAGCGUGCAGGAUGAAGUUCUUCGGAAUGUAAACUGCUGUUAUAAGGGAAGAAAAAAUAGAAUAGGAAAUGAUUUUAUCUUGACGGUACCUUAUUAGAAAGCGACGGCAAACUAUGUGCCAGCAGCUGCGGUAAUACGUAGGGCGCGAGCGUUGUCCGGAAUUAUUGGGCGUAAAGGGCUCGUAGGCGGCUUUUUAAGUCGGAUGUGAAAUCCCUGAGCUUAGCUUAGGAAUUGCAUUCGAUACUGGGAAGCUAGAGUAUGGGAGAGGAUGGUAGAAUUCCAGGUGUAGCGGUGAAAUGCGUAGAGAUCUGGAGGAAUACCGAUGGCGAAGGCAGCCAUCUGGCCUAAUACUGACGCUGAGGUACGAAAGCAUGGGGAGCAAACAGG
rnacentral:rRNA from 1 species